GACGAACGCUGGCGGCGUGCCUAAUACAUGCAAGUAGAACGCUGAAGGAGGAGCUUGCUUCUCUGGAUGAGUUGCGAACGGGUGAGUAACGCGUAGGUAACCUGCCUGGUAGCGGGGGAUAACUAUUGGAAACGAUAGCUAAUACCGCAUAAGAGUAGAUGUUGCAUGACAUUUGCUUAAAAGGUGCAAUUGCAUCACUACCAGAUGGACCUGCGUUGUAUUAGCUAGUUGGUGGGGUAACGGCUCACCAAGGCGACGAUACAUAGCCGACCUGAGAGGGGGAUCGACCACACUGGGACUGAGACACGGCCCAGACUCCUACGGGAGGCAGCAGUAGGGAAUCUUCGGCAAGGGACGGAAGUCUGACCGAGCAACGCCGCGUGAGUGAAGAAGGUUUUCGGAUCGUAAAGCUCUGUUGUAAGAGAAGAACGAGUGUGAGAGUGGAAAGUUCACACUGUGACGGUAUCUUACCAGAAAGGGACGGCUAACUACGUG
rnacentral:rRNA from 1 species